rnacentral:lncRNA from 1 species
CCAAUUUCGAGAUGGUGUUGCAAGGUCAAGCAAGCUAAAGGGACUAAAAGUAUAUACAAUAAUUUUAAAGUUAUGAAAAGUCUUUUCUUUUUCACGAAUGAAAAUUGCUUGGUACAUGCCUGUCUAUUAAUUUUCUUCCCUCAAGUGCGCACACUCUAUUCGUCUCUCUACUGUAGGAAGCUAGCCAUGCUAAAAAUUCCUUGCUGUGAUGAGACUAAAGUGAGAAAGGGGCUUUGGUCUCUAGAAGUAGAUGCAACCCUCAAAAAUUACAUUCAAAACUAUGGUACUGGUGGCAACUGGAUAACCUUUCCACAGAAAGCUGGUCACAACUCAUACACACUCUCUCUUUGUGUUAACCCCAUCACUCACAUUUCUGUAAAUGCAUGCUUGUGAAAUAUAAGAAGGCCAUUUUUCUUACAGCAAAAAAGGGAUUGAGCAGGGCAGCACAUUUCAAUAGCACUAUCAAAAAAUCUACUAAGAGUGAAUUGAAUUUUUAGUACUAGAAUUAGUUAAAUUAAAAAAAUGGACAAGAAACUAAACGAAAUAGUGAAAAAUUAGACUCGCAACACUAGCACACUUCUUAGCUUUAAGUGAACACAAGCUCAAAAAUUGAAACAAAUUUUUAAUUGAAAAAAUUCACCGACUUGAUGUCCCUCUUGAUGGACCUACCAAGUCGG